GAACAGUGAAUUCACGCUUAACCAGUUUUUUAUUUAUUAUUCCUAUUUUACCCUUUCAAUUUUCCCUCCAACUGACCACUAAAUGCCAUUAUUUCGUAUUUUUUUUCUCUAAUUCACUCUUCCUGUGCCUUCGAAUUCAUACAAAACCUUGUUCUUCCAAUGGCACUUCUCAUCCGAUCCCACAGAUCUUGGCCGUGAAAAUUCUCUUUAACCCUAACCCAAACCUUAAAAUUAUUAAGGGUCUCUCUGUGUUCAUAUAUGAUGAGAGGAUUGGAUUUAGGGCUAGGGCUGUAUCUGUUGAUAGGAUUGGUGUUAAAGGCUGUGAGAUUAGGGUUUCGUAAUUGAAUCAGAGCAUGAAUUUGUACUGCCAAUUAUUGGUUCCAGUGAAGCAAGAAACAAAACAGAGCCAAGAUGAAGAGGACUUUGAGAGAGGGGUUUCCCGAGCUUUUUCUCAAGGAGCUCAGUUUUGAUAUCUACAGGUCAAGUAAAUGAAGAACUGGAGCACCGGAUUGGGAUGAUUGGAACGUCAUUGAACAAGUUUGGAAUAAUCUUAGAUUCUAUUCAGCUUUGUCUCGCGAAUCUUGAUUGCAAUUGCAAUUUUCAUAAUCCUCAGGUCAUUAAGGUGGUUGGUAAUGCAAGAGUGCUCUUGGAAACAAAUCACAAUGAGAGAGGUAGAGGAGAGACUUGAAGAAAUUCAAAAAAGCUGCUGAAAAAUGUUAAUGCUAAAUCAAAGCUUCUGGCUGUUGGCAUUUCAAAAACUUGCUGUGGCUUUGUAAUUCAACUACAACCAAUAAAAUACAGGGUCGCAGCAAAGCAUGGCCUUAUUAUGGCUCCUAGAACCGGAACCGGUCCGAACCAGUACCUGAACUGGAGGUAUACGGUUCGGUUUCGGUUCUAAUAUUUUGGGAACCGCAAACAGGCGGUUCCAAAACCGAUCGGAACCAGAUGGAACUGCCGGUUCUAGCCAUUGCAAACUGUCAGCAGACCUUUUUUUUAUUAUUUUUUUGUGAAAUCUCUUAAUUACCCCUUCCAACAACUAUAAACGGCUAAAUAAUGGCUAGUUUCAAGAGUAUUUGUGGAAAAAUGAUUUUUUGAAUUUAUUAUAAAUACCUCCUUUCAUUUCAUUUA